rnacentral:rRNA from 1 species
AUUGAACGCUGGCGGCCGGCCUAACACAUGCAAGUCGAACGAGUGGCGGACGGGUGAGUAAUGUCUGGGAAACUGCCUGAUGGAGGGGGAUAACUACUGGAAACGGUAGCUAAUACCGCAUACCAUCAGAUGUGCCCAGAUGGGAUUAGCUAGUUGGUGGGGUAACGGCUCACCAAGGCGACGAUCCCUAGCUGGUCUGAGAGGAUGACUAGGCCACCGGGAACUGAGACACGGUCCAGAAGCGUUCGGUAGGUGGCCACUGAGAAUAUGGCAGAAUGGGCGCAAGCCUGCUGCAGGCAUGCCGCGUGUAUUAAGCAGGACAGCGGUUUUCAAAGCACUUUCAGUUUGGAGGGGUACGACUUAGAAGAAGCCCCGGCUAACUCUGUGCCAGCAGCCGCGGUAAUUC